GUGCCGCUUGGGGCUGGCUCCCGGGCGGUUCGAGGGCAGCCGUCGCUGCUCCUUACGCAGCGCAGCCGUGUGCGAGCGCGGGCUCCGCACCUGGCUGAACCCCGGUGAGGAUUUCAGCCCGGAGUUGGAACGUCUGAGCUGAGCUGUAGACUCAGCUCCAUCUGCUGCACCAUAUUUGUGACCACCCACAAAGAUCCAGGCUACUCAACCUCUGCAGACUUACUAGGGAGCACGAAAACGCAGGGAAGCAAUUAAAGAUGUGAUUCAACCCACUCUUUUCUUUACUAUAUUGCUAAUAACGGAAGACCCUAGCUUGAUACUCGUACUCUGGGGCUGAGUUUUCGGGGCUGGCAGUAGGCAUGCAACUGUUCAUUACUUCCAAACUUCUGUUUUAUCUGGAGUAGUUUAAACCCAAGAAACACAGAUCUUUUCCUUCCAGAUAAUGUUGUGUACAUAAAACUAAUUGCCAUGGAGCAACCACGCUUUUGGAGAUGCACUGCUUUUUUUCCAAAGUCUCGGCACUUACUAUCGAAGCUGAACUUCCACCAGAAGCUGCUGAGCAGGGUGGACCAACCCUUGGGAUCAGCAUCAGCUCUCGUCUCUCCCAUUAUGCCUCAAUCCUGCAACUUUGUUCUGAUCAUGAGGGCUGCCUUAUCAACAAAUUCACUGCCGCAGUUUUUCCAUGUGAUUAAUACUAGGAAAAAGGACAAGUGACCUUAGUGGGGUAUGGCCAACAUGGUCCAGCCUGGCAGUACGUAUCUGGGCUUGGAAAAGAAAAUCUCAACUUUGCAGGUCAGUCAUUGCAACCCAAACCCAGAGAUGGAAAAAGAAAAAGCUGCAACCUGCGUGGCCUGUGAACAACACAGAUCCUCCUGCAAACCUCCGGGAGCAAAACUGUUGUUUAGAAGAAAGGAAAUUCCAACCCUCCCAAGAUGAUCUGUGAAGAUUCUGUAUUGAGAUUUUUAGUCAGAGUGUGAAGAAGGAAUGAGACUCUUUUGCCUCCUAAAAUAAAGAGCAGAUAUAGUCCAAAAGAAUGACCAGAGGUCACAGCCGUUGUCCAGCUGACCUGGUGUCUGUCACCUGCAGUGGCCAACUGCGCAUGUCUAGGAGAAUGCAACAAGAGCAAGGUGCCUCCAUUUAAAAACACCCUGAGGAGCAGUACGGCCCCGCAGUGACACCAUCUCUGCACGAGGAGACCGAGCCGCUGCCUGCGAUACCCCGGGGUGAGCAUGAGGACAAGGCUGUAAACGUCCCUGCAUCUGCGAUUCAUCUACUCCUUCACCCAUUUCCAAGCGAGGCUCACCACAAACGACUGCAGUGAGACACAGCUAACGACGUCGGAUGGGAUCCUCCUGUUUCCCAGAUGAUCUGACUUCACCAACGUCCACGACUGCAUAGAUGAACACACGGGAUGAGUGACAAAUUAAUCUUUGGAACAGCUUAUUGCUGCUGAUGUCCAGGGAAGCUUCCUUCUGACUUACUGCGUGCCAAAGGGACGGCAGCAGGAGCUGCUUUGGCAGGAGUGAGCCCCGGGAGCGCUGCCUGCCGCAGACAUCCCCAGUCCUGCACUGCUGCCCGACAGCAGCAUUGGCUCUGGCCCCCCCAAACCUCAGCAGGCGCCUGCUGACUCCAGCGGCGGAGGCAGACCCGUGGGGCUGAGAAGGCAGCUGGCAGAUGGAUCGGGAAUGGCCUCAGACAGGUUUGGACCUGCACCCAGGUGGUUUCCCAGCUCUGAUUUUCCUAACUCCGUGCAGGGAAUGCCCCGGAGUAGCUCUUUGCUGCACCUCAUCCCUCGAAGGCAAUCAGCCACCCCAAGUAUGCGGUCUGCUCCCGCACCGGCUGAAUGUCUUUGCAGUUAAUACCGAGGGUCUGAUCCCGCUCUGGGUUUCACAGGUGUCGCCCCAUGUGCAGGGAGGCAGUCAUUCCCUAGGACCUCGCACAGGAGAACCGGCUGCAGUGCGGGAUGUCUGGGGAGCCCCGGCCCCCCGAGCUGGAGCGAUGGCGGCACUGCCAGGUCUGUCCCACCCUGGAGGAAGCCUGCUGACCAGAAAAAGACCCGGGACACUGCAAAUGAGCUGUGACAAGCCAGGCCAGCCCCAGCUGUGUCACCUGGAAAGUCUGAGUGGACGGAGGUGGCGCGGAGGGGAGACGUGGUCAUCCUUGGUGCGCGGUCCGCAGGGCCCUCGUGGGAGGCGGCACAGCCUCGUGCUCUGCGCAAGCUCUGCCUUCCCCUCCCACCCUGGCACUGUGUUAUUUGUGCAGAAGAGCUAAAUACCCGUGCUGUGCAGAGGCAGCGAUAUUCCUAUAGAUACAUGAUUUCUGUAACGCAUAACAGCCUCCUUGGGAGGAACAAUUUGUUUCUAGGAUAGUGCCAGGAAGAAGAGAAAUCCAGCCCUGGAUGUCUUCCAGUUUGAUUUUUCUCCCACUAGGUACUGUGGGUUCAGCUUGCAAGCGUUUUUUGAUUACUUUUUAUUUUGGAGCUGUUUGGAGCAGGACUGGCGUCGGUCGGAGGGGACUGGCACACGGGUGUGCUGCAUGGGGCCGUGUCAGGGGUGCCGGAGCCAGGAUUCGCCAGGACUUGCUCUUCAGGGAAACAUGUUGAAUUGGAUCCUGCAAGCCUCUAAACUCCAUUGCACCAGCUCUACACCUGGGUAGUAGGAGUCCAAGUACAGCCUAAAUAUUAAACUAUACCGAGGUGCUCAAAAGAACCUCCCACCCAGCAAGCGGCCACUGUGGAGCAAAGAAGGGUCAAUACCAAAGGAUGGAGGAAGCUCUUCCUACCAACCCUAUCUACUUUUCUUUGAAGAACUGCACAGCGUGAAGAGGUGGUAUACAAUAGGUGAGGGAACAUUUCAUUGCCCAAGAUCUAGAGGUGAGCACUAGAGGCGUACCAGGGUGGCUGAAGAAAUGUUAGAGUAUCUUUGCUCUCGACUGUGGCCCAGGGUGACCUGUCCAUCUCUGCACAGAGAUGCCUGCAUCUUCAGUGCAGGGACACCCACAGCGCAGGGACAGGCUCUUCCACAGCACACAUGGAAGUAUCCAGAAUAUUCGAUGUGUGUCGGAAAUGGAAAGCUUGCGUCCCGACCCCGCCGCGCAGGCGGGGAGGGUGGCAAGGGCGAGACGGCCAGCAGUCCCCACUCUCAGGCAUGGUACAUGUCACUGGAGGCUGCUGCUGUGCUGGGCACUGUACAAGCGCAGCGGCGAUUCCUGCCCUGGAGAACGGGCAAUCUAAAGAGACCAUGUAGAUGAAGGGUGGGGUGAUGGUGGAAAUACUACCCCUGCUUUACCUGUGGGGAUAGUACCAGGGGGAGUGUGAAUGACUUGCCGGGAGGCGGACAGGGACUCCAGGACAGAUCAGAGAGCGCAACUGAGGCCACGGUCCUGAUGAGCAGUGAUUUACACACCGUGAAUGGAGAGCUGGUUAUUAUCUACAUGCUGACGCCAAAGGAUGUGCUGGCUUUUCAUAAAGAGAGAUAAUCAAUAACAACUGCCAUCCAUUUUGAUUACUAACUUUCUGCAAGCCGCCUUCAGCAUCCUGCCACUGACUGCCCGCAUUUCGAUGGGAUGAAUGAGCCCCACAUCAUCUCCUUUGUGUGCUCAGCUAGCGCAGUUCCAGCGCUCUUUAGGAUCCAGUUGGAUGAAAAGAGCUAUUUGAAUGUAAAUUAAUUGCCAUUACAAUUCUGUUUUUCUGCUUUUCGGCAGAGGAGAUAACUUCAGCCUUUUCACAGAGAACAAAACCAUCAAAAGUGAACUUGUCAAUUCAAUCUCUUCAUAUAAUUAUAUUCUGAGGAUUCAGACAGUUGGGUGGUUUCUGUAUUAUUUCUCCCCUGAGGAGAGUGCUCCCAUCUUCUAAGCACAAGCAGACUGUGUGCACCUGGGAGAACAAAGUCAGUCUCCUCCUGCUCCCAUCGGUACUGGAGCUCACCAGAUCUGCCCGAUUCCCUCUUGGGCUCACUGGGACACGAGGCCAGAGCUGGUCAUGGCUAGAGCUGCCGGCCGCCCUGCACCGUGAGCCACCAGGCCUCCGCAGGGGGAAGGUGGAGAUGUAAAUUGUACGGAUUUAGCUGGCUAUGGAGAACAUCGUCUUAAGUUGCAGGUGUAAGUAGGUGUGAUCUACAGACUGAAGAGAUGAAAAGCAACCAAAGGACUCUGCAGAAGCAGGUAUUAGAGCCAGUCGCUGAGACUGCUGGGGCUGGUUUCUGUGCUGCUAUGUUUGCGCAUCUGCGGCUGCUGGCAGGGCGAUGGCAGCGGUGAACUGGAGCACUUACACCAUCUGCUAACUAACACCCCUUUGCUAUGCCACUGCAUUGAGGCUUAUGUCACUUCCGAACUUUGCCUAUUGAAAUUCUGGCUUUGUACUGCAGAGGCGAAAUGGAGAAAUGGGGGAAAUGAUUAAAGAAAAUACAGAGCAUCUUCUGUCCGGGAGAGGCUGAGCAGAUGCUGCACCAGCGAUGGCUGAGGCACGGCCGCAGGUGCCCAGCCCCGAGGGGAGCGCCCGGCUGUGUGCUGGUAACAUCCCCAUGGCUCCGGGGGAGGACAGUGCUGGAUCAGGCUUUACUUCUCCUGUGUGAAACCACAAGAGAGAUCGAGGUGGGCAGGAGGAGUGCCAAGGCGCAUGCAAAGCAGGAGCUGGACCCCAGCGUGGCUUUGCUUUGUAGACGCCCUCUCGUUGGUGCAGGCAGAGUUGUGUGGGCGCAGGCAGAGCAGGGACGGGUCUGAAAAGCUGUUCUGUGAGAGGAAAGAGGGGCGGCUGGCAGCGGCUGGCGCAGGGGACAGCAGGGUGACGCCGGGGACCAGCGUGUCGGAGCUGCGGUGUCUGCGCGAAACCUUUUCACGCCUCUUCCCCUCACGGUUGCUGCUAUCAGAUGUUUUUGUCUCUGCUGCAGUCAGCAAUCUCGGGCAGUGGUUAAGUUGUGUGUCAUGGUUUUAAGCCGCACGGAAAACAAACUGUGUCAGCCCUCGGCGUGCCCGGUCAUGAUGCUCUGCCUCAGCACCGCGGUUCUCAGAAGCGGCUGUUUACCGUGCAGGGAGGAAACCUGCGUCCCGCACCCUCCUCCUGCUGCUCCCGAGCCCUCUCCCUGCUGAUUUAGUGCCCUCCCUUUGCUGGGAAAGCGAGCGCGCCGACGCCGCUCGUCACCCAGUGCUGCCAGGCCUGGGCAGCGGUGCCGCCGCUGCCCGCCGGCACGGGGGGCCGGGAGCUCUGCCAGCCGGGACGGCGCUGGCGGCGGGGAGGGGGGCGAGGGACGGCCCUGCGCCUUCCCAUUGCCCAACAGCCCAGGGUUUAGUUUUCACGUUAUUUCAGGGAAGCGCUUAAUUAGCGACGGUACAUCUCUCCAUUAGCUUGCCGCCUCCGCUUCACUGCCGUUUCGAUGGUAAAUUAAUGACUGUCGUGAAGUGAUGGCCACCGGCUGGGCCUCGCCUCAGCUGUAGGCCAAGACCGGGGAGGACGCUGUCUGCCUGGCCUUGGGCGUCCUCAUCUUGCCAA